rnacentral:misc_RNA from 1 species
GAUGAAGAACGUAGCGAAAUGCGAUACGUAAUGUGAAUUGCAGAAUUCAGUGAAUCAUCGAGUCUUUGAACGCACAUUGCGCCCCCUGGUAUUCCGGGGGGCAUGCCUGUCCGAGCGUCAUUGCUGCCCUCAAGCACGGCUUGUGUGUUGGGCCUCCGCCCCCCGGCUCCCGGGGGGCGGGCCCGAAAGGCAGCGGCGGCACCGCGUCCGGUCCUCGAGCGUAUGGGGCUUCGUCACCCGCUCCGUAGGCCCGGCCGGAGCCCGCCGGCGACCCCCCUCAAUCUUUCCAGGUUGACCUCGGAUCAGGUAGGGAUACCCGCUGAACUUAAGCAUAUCAAUAAGCGGAGGA